GCCCGCCUAGCUCAAUCGGAUAGAGCGUCAGACUCUUAUCUGAUCUUGGUGGAAAGUUUCAUUUGGGCAUCUGAAGGCUGCGAGUUCGACCCUCGCGGUGGGCU
rnacentral:tRNA from 1 species